AGGAUGAACGCUGGCGGCGUGCCUAAUACAUGCAAGUUGUGCGGUAACAGAGAGAGCUUGCUCUCUGCUGACGAGCGGCGGACGGCAGAGUAACGCGUAGGAACAUACCCCAAACUGAGGGAUAACUGCUCGAAAGAGUAGCUAAUACCGCAUGUGGUCUUCGGAUUAAAGCUUCGGCGGUUUGGGAGUGGCCUGCGUCCGAUUAGCUAGUUGGUGAGGUAAUUGCUCACCAAGGCGACGAUCGGUAGCUGGUCUGAGAGGAUGAUCAGCCUGACUGGAACUGAGAACGGUCCAGACUCCUACGGGAGGCAGCAGUAGGGAAUUUUCCACAAUGGGCGAAAGCCUGAUGGAGCAACGCCGCGUGCAGGAUGAAUGCCUUCGGGUUGUAAACUGCUUUUCUGUGUGAAGAAUAUGACGGUAACACAGGAAUAAGGGUCGGCUAACUACGUG
rnacentral:rRNA from 1 species